CUAUCUGCCGUGGACGUUUGAGAUUUGAGAGGGGCUGCUCCUAGUACGAGAGGACCGGAGUGGACGAACCUCUGGUGUUCCGGUUGUCACGCCAGUGGCAUUGCCGGGUAGCUAUGUUCGGAAAAGAUAACCGCUGAAAGCAUCUAAGCGGGAAACUUGCCUCAAGAUGAGAUCUCACUGGGAACUUGAUUCCCCUGAAGGGCCGUCGAAGACUACGACGUUGAUAGGCUGGGUGUGUAAGCGUUGUGAGGCGUUGAGCUAACCAGUACUAAUUGCCCGUGAGGCUUGACCAU
rnacentral:rRNA from 1 species